rnacentral:rRNA from 1 species
CAAGUCGACGAAUCCCACUUUUGUAGCAAUACAGAGGUGGGGGAAGUGGCGAAAGGGGCAGUAAUGCAUGGGUAACCUACCUUGGGGAUGGGCAUAGCCUUUCUAACGAAAGGGUAAUUCCCAGAGAUUCGGCGAGGGGGCAUCUUCUUGCCGGGAAAUGAGUUUCGCCUCGAGAGGGGCCCAUGUCGUAUUAGCUAGUUGGUGGGGUAACGGCCCACCAAGGCAAAGAUGCGUAGCGGGUGUGAGAGCACGACCCGCGCCACUGGCACUGAGACACUGGCCAGACACCUACGGGUGGCUGCAGUCGAGGAUCUUCGUCAAUGGGCGCAAGCCUGAACGAGCGACGCCGCGUGCGCGAUGAAGGCCUUCGGGUUGUAAAGCGCGAAAGAGGGAAUAAAACCGCAAGGUUGAUUGAACCUCAGUAAGGACGGGCUAAGUUCGUGCCAGCAGCCGCGGUAAGACGAACUGUCCUAACGUUGUUCGGAAUCACUGGGCUUAAAGGGCGCGUAGGCGGUCGACCAAGUCAGGGGUGAAAUCCUGCAGCUUAACUGUAGAAGUGCCUCUGAUACUGGUCGUCUCGAGGGAGGUAGGGGUGUGCGGAACUUCCAGUGGAGCGGUGAAAUGCGUUGAUAUUGGAAGGAACGCCGGAGGCGAAAGCGGCGCACUGGACCUCUUCUGACGCUGAGGCGCGAAAGCUAGGGGAGCAAACGGGAUUAGAUACCCCGGUAGUCCUAGCCCUAAACGAUGGGUACUAGAUUGUAGACUGAUCAUGGGUUUACAGUCGAAGCAAAAGUGUUAAGUACCCCGCCUGGGGAGUAUGGUCGCAAGGCUGAAACUCAAAGGAAUUGACGGGGGCUCACACAAGCGGUGGAGCAUGUGGCUUA